rnacentral:rRNA from 1 species
CCCUUAGAUGUUCUGGGCAGCACGCGCGCUACAAUGGUCUUCGCAUACGGAUGCAUUCUCGAAGGAGAAUGCCAAUCUUGGAAUCUAUGCCUUGGUCGGGACAGUUGCUUGCAAUUUUUCGACUCGAACCAGGAAUUCCUUGUAAUCGUGAUUCAUCACAUCACGAUGAAUACGUCCCUGCCCUUUGUACACACCGCCCGUCGCUCCUACCGAUCGAAGAGUUAGGUGAAUUGUUUUGAUCGAUAAGAUUUGACUAUGGUCAACUCUCGUUGUGAAAUUCUGUGAAUCUGACUGUUUAGAGGAAGGAAAAGUCGUAACA